UCCUAGGGUGUGAACUCUUCACCUCCUUGAAGAGUCAUUUUCUUCUUUCAAUGGCCCAAGACUUCUCCUGUGUCUCACUUGCCAGCCUUUUCUAUAGAACGGAAGAACCAGAAAACAAUUGGGAGAAGAAAACAUUACUUCUUGAAGAAUAAAUAUAUGAAAUAUUAUAUUGCUGUUUCCAAGAAUAGAUUUGCCCUCUCUGGGUUCCACUCUAUAGGAUAGA